rnacentral:rRNA from 1 species
UACGUAGGGUGCAAGCGUUAAUCGGAAUUACUGGGCGUAAAGCGUGCGCAGGCGGUGAUGUAAGACAGAUGUGAAAUCCCCGGGCUCAACCUGGGAACUGCAUUUGUGACUGCAUCGCUGGAGUGCGGCAGAGGGGGAUGGAAUUCCGCGUUUAGCAGUGAAAUGCGUAGAUAUGCGGAGGAACACCGAUGGCGAAGGCAAUCCCCUGGGCCUGCACUGACGCUCAUGCACGAAAGCGUGGGGAGCAAACAGG